rnacentral:rRNA from 1 species
CGCAUCUGUGCAUGCAGCAUAUCAAUAAGCGGAGGAAAAGAAACUAACAAGGAUUCCCUUAGUAACGGCGAGUGAAGCGGGAAGAGCUCAAAUUUGAAAUCUUCAAAGGUUUUACCUUGACGAAUUGUAGUUUAAAGAAGUGUUUUCUGUUGAAGUUUUGGUAAAAGUUCUUUGGAAUAGGACAUCAUAGAGGGUGAGAAUCCCGUAUUUGACCAUUAUUUUCAGCUGUGUGAUACACUUUCAAAGAGUCGGAUUGUUUGGGAAUGCAGUCCAAAAUGGGUGGUAAAUUUCAUCUAAAGCUAAAUAUUGGCGAGAGACCGAUAGCGAACAAGUACCGUGAGGGAAAGAUGAAAAGAACUUUGAAAAGAGAGUUAAACAGUACGUGAGAUUGUCAAAAGGGAAGCGUUUGACACCAGUGUUGUUUUCUCGAAAAUCAAUUAAAAAGAGUUUGAUUUUGUUGUGUAUUGACCUUAACAGCUUGCAUUUCAAUUUUCUUGCUUUUUUUAAUGCACUUUUCGUUUAACAAGUCAACAUCAGUUUCUUUUGUUGUAAAAAGGUCAUUGGAAGGUGGCUUUCUUUUCGGAGAAAGUGUUUAUAGCCUUUGACUCCUGCAAUCGGAGAGACUGAGGUCUGCAGCGUAGAUCCUUCGGGGUUAGAUACAUUUGUGCUAAGUUAUAGCUUUUUAUAGACAACUUGUUGACUAUGAUUAGUCUUGUAGCUUACUCGCUUAUGCUAUUUUACCUACGCUUAGGAUGUUGACGCGAGGCGUGGUCGACCGUGCAGUCUAGUACAUGACUAUGGCAUAUCAAUAAGCGGAGGAAAAGCCGGACGUGACAUCGUGACACCCUACCUACGCUUAGGAUGUUGACGCGCGUGUGUGCGUG